rnacentral:Y_RNA from 1 species
GGCUAGUUCCAGUGCAGUUGUGUUUAUAACUAAUUGAUCAUAACCAGUUACAGAUUCCUUUGUUUCUUCUCCACUCCCACUGCUUCAAUUAAUAGCCUAAG